GCCAGGCGUUAUGGCGGGUGCCUGUAGUCCCAGCGACUUGGGAGGCUGAGGCAGGAGACUCGCUUGAGCCCAGGAGUUGGAGGUUGCUGUGAGCAUGAUGCCAUGGCACUCUACCCAGGGGGGAUAGCUUGAGGCUCCGUCUCAAAAAAAAAAAAAAAGAAAAAAUGUAUGAGUUGGUGUUUUUUUUUUUUUUUUUUUUUGAGACAGAGCCUCAAGCUGUCCCCCUGGGCAGAGUGCCGUGGCAUUACAGCUCACAGCAACCUCCAACUCCUGGGCUCAAGCGAGUCUCCUGCCUCUG
rnacentral:SRP_RNA from 1 species